CCUACGGGAGACAGCAGUGAGGAAUAUUGGUCAAUGGACGAGAGUCUGAACCAGCCAAGUAGCGUGAAGGAUGACUGCCCUAUGGGUUGUAAACUUCUUUUAUAUGGGAAUAAAACGUUCCACGUGUGGGAUUUUGUAUGUACCAUAUGAAUAAGGAUCGGCUAACUCCGUGCCAGCAGCCGCGGUAAUACGGAGGAUCCGAGCGUUAUCCGGAUUUAUUGGGUUUAAAGGGAGCGUAGGUGGAUUGUUAAGUCAGUUGUGAAAGUUUGCGGCUCAACCGUAAAAUUGCAGUUGAAACUGGCAGUCUUGAGUACAGUAGAGGUGGGCGGAAUUCGUGGUGUAGCGGUGAAAUGCUUAGAUAUCACGAAGAACUCCGAUUGCGAAGGCAGUUCACUGGACUGUAACUGACACUGAGGCUCGAAAGUGUGGGUAUCAAACAGGAUUAGAUACCCGGGUAGUC
rnacentral:rRNA from 1 species